rnacentral:rRNA from 1 species
GACGAACGCUGGCGGCGUGCUUAACACAUGCAAGUCGAACGGAAAGGCCCUGCUUGCAGGGUACUCGAGUGGCGAACGGGUGAGUAACACGUGGGCGAUCUGCCCUGCACUUCGGGAUAAGCCUGGGAAACUGGGUCUAAUACCGGAUAGGAGCCAUUUUUAGUGUGAUGGUUGGAAAGUUUUUUCGGUGUAGGAUGAGCUCGCGGCCUAUCAGCUUGUUGGUGGGGUAAUGGCCUACCAAGGCGGCGACGGGUAGCCGGCCUGAGAGGGUGGACGGCCACAUUGGGACUGAGAUACGGCCCAGACGCCUACGGGAGGCAGCAGUGGGGAAUAUUGCACAAUGGGCGCAAGCCUGAUGCAGCGACGCCGCGUGGGGGAUGACGGCCUUCGGGUUGGAAACUCCUUUCGCUAGGGACGAAGCUUUUUGUGACGGUACCUAGAUAAGAAGCACCGGCUAACUACGUG